UCUUUUGCCUUUCGGCAGGAAGUCAUCCUGCAUACUGAAUGUUUGGCCUUCUCCCCCUGGAAGGAUUGUUUGAGCUUCACACUGAGCAGAGGAUUAAUCUCCCCACGUCCCGUUCAAGUUCUCCAGGAAAUCUAAGUGGCAGUCCGCUCCAUCGCUCCUCAGGAACCAACCAAACCAAAACCUGUCCGCCCUCCAACGAGCCCCUUUAUCUCUGGACAAACCCAUACCGACUGGAUUCUGGGAAGAAACCUUUCUCCGUAAUCUUCCGGUUCACCUGCUCUCUGAGUUCCCCUGAAUCCAACCCAUUUGAACUCCUCAAUAAACCUGUUAAACUUUUA